CAUUGGUGCAUUAACAGAUAAUAACUAGACUAUUAAAAUUAAUUUUUAGUAAUAAAAUACUAAUGCAAAGAUUUUCCUUUUUUUAAAGAUGAAUCCAAUAAAGAAACAGCUAACCUACAAGAAAGAGGUAUAAGCAAUGUAAGUGUUAGUUUUCUUAUCAAGAUGCAUCCUUUAGGAAAAACCUUACUAAAUGAUCAGUUGACCAUCCUUUCAACUUUAAUUUUAUUACUCCUAGGACGAUGGUGAUGAGAAAACCGUAGCAAGUGCACGUCGGAGAGGAAGGAAGCCCAAGCGUUCGCUCACGCUGUCAGAUGAUGCUGAAUUCUCAGAGCCAGAAAGAAAACGCCAGAAAUCAGUUUCUGAAGCAACUGAGGACAAAAAAGAUCAGGAGUCUGAUGAGGAAGAGGAAGAAGAGGAAGAGGAUGAGCCCCCUGGAGCCACCACAAGAUCUACCACGAGAUCAGAGGCUCAGAGAUCAAAGACACAGCUCUCCCCUUCUACUAAACGCAAGAGAGAAGUCAGUCCUCCUGGGGCCCGGACAAGAGGCCAGCAAAGAGUAGAAGAAGCUCCUGUGAAAAAGGCGAAGCGGUAACCUGACCCUCCCCUGGCAGCUUGAGGAGCACAGUGGAGAGGUGAUGAUCAUCCUCAUGGGCUGUAGGCUUUUUUUCCCCCAACCAAGAAAAGGAUAUGCAUGUGCUGUAAGUUCCUAGGUGCAAGCUUUUUCUUGUUAUGUUUUAAACAGCUUUAUAAACUAUUGUUCAUAGAAGAUAUUAUGUACAUUUAUUUCAGAUAAAGGAAAGUAAGUUUACUUUGUAUCUGAACUCAAAACAAAGGAGUUGUAUAUUUUAACAUUCAAAAUUGGGAUUUCCCAAUGUGACACAUCACUAAUGCAAACCCUUCCAGCCAUCAGACACCAGGCUGCCUACUGGUGAUCUGUGUAUAGUAUAUGAACAUGUAAAAAUAGGUUGUAUUUUACUCUAUGUAUGAUGCUAAUCAAUGAACACUUUAUUUAUUUUACAGAGAAAACUUAUCCGUGAACUUUACUAUAUCUGUUUAUUUUAUUUUAUUAUUUUUUUUUUAAUAAAAAAAGGGUUUUAAAUGCUAUGCA
ensembl:lncRNA